rnacentral:misc_RNA from 1 species
GAAAUGCGAUAAUUAAUGUGAAUUGCAGAAUUCAGUGAAUCAUCGAGUCUUUGAACGCACAUUGCGCCCCCUGGUAUUCCGGGGGGCAUGCCUGUCCGAGCGUCAUUGCUGCCCUCAAGCACGGCUUGUGUGUUGGGCUUCCGUCCCUGGCAACGGGGACGGGCCCAAAAGGCAGUGGCGGCACCAUGUCUGGUCCUCGAGCGUAUGGGGCUUUGUCACCCGCUUCCGUAGGUCCAGCUGGCAGCUAGCCUCGCAACCAAUCUUUUUAACCAGGUUGACCUCGGAUCAGGUAGGGAUACCCGCUGAACUUAAGC